UACGUAGGGGGCAAGCGUUGUCCGGAUUUAUUGGGCGUAAAGAGCGUGUAGGCGGCCAGGUAGGUCCGUUGUGAAAACUCGAGGCUCAACCUCGAGACGUCGGCGGAAACCCUCUGGCUAGAGUCCGGAAGAGGAGAGUGGAAUUCCUGGUGGAGCGGUGAAAUGCGCAGAUAUCAGGAGGAACACCCGUAGCGAAGGCGGCACUCUGGGCCGAUACUGACACUGAGGAGCGAAAGCGUGGGGAGCGAACAGG
rnacentral:rRNA from 1 species